rnacentral:rRNA from 1 species
AGGACGAACGCUGGCGGCGUGCUUAACACAUGCAAGUCGAGCGGUAAGGCCCUUCGGGGUACACGAGCGGCGAACGGGUGAGUAACACGUGGGUGACCUGCCCUCAGCUCUGGGAUAAGCCUGGGAAACUGGGUCUAAUACCGGAUAUGACCACAUGUCGCAUGGUGUGUGGUGGAAAGUGCGUUCUUUAUUGAGCGUUUCGGCUGGGGAUGGGCCCGCGGCCUAUCAGCUUGUUGGUGGGGUGAUGGCCUACCAAGGCGACGACGGGUAGCCGGCCUGAGAGGGCGACCGGCCACACUGGGACUGAGACACGGCCCAGACUCCUACGGGAGGCAGCAGUGGGGAAUAUUGCGCAAUGGGCGAAAGCCUGACGCAGCGACGCCGCGUGGGGGAUGACGGCCUUCGGGUUGUAACCUCUUUCGACCGGGACGAAGCGCGAAGUGACGGUACCGGUAUAAGAAGCACCGGCCAACUACGUGCCAGCAGCCGCGGU